GUCUCUUCGGAAACAUCUGAUAAAAUUGGAACGAUACAGAGAAGAUUAGCAUGGCCUAUGCACAAGGAUGACACUGUCAACUGAUCCUCGAAAAUCAUAUUC
rfam:Spinacia oleracea cultivar SynViroflay scaffold44822.con0004.1, whole genome shotgun sequence.